rnacentral:rRNA from 1 species
GACGAACCGUGCGAACGUUAUUCGGAAUCACUGGGCUUAAAGCGCGUGUAGGCGGAUGAGCACGUCUGUCGCUGAAAUCCCCCGGCUCAACCGGGGAACGGGCGGAGAUACGGCUGAUCUGGAGGGGCGUAGGGGGACCGGGAACGUCCGGUGGAGCGGUGAAAUGCGUUGAGAUCGGACGGAACGCCCGUGGCGAAAGCGCGGUCCUGGACGCCUGCUGACGCUGAGACGCGAAAGCCAGGGGAGCGAACGGG